GAGGGUAUAGCUCACUGGUAGAGCUUGGGCUCAGCAUGCAUAAGGUCCUGGGUUCAAUCCCCAGCACCUCCA
rnacentral:tRNA from 1 species